UACGUAGGGUGCGAGCGUUAAUCGGAUUUACUGGGCGUAAAGCGUGCGCAGGCGGCCCGUUAAGACAGGUGUGAAAUCCCUGGGCUCAACCUAGGAAUUGCGCUUGUGACUGGCGGGCUCGAGUACGGUAGAGGGGGGUGGAAUUCCUGGUGUAGCAGUGAAAUGCGUAGAGAUCAGGAGGAACACCGAUGGCGAAGGCGCCCCCCUGGGCCUGUACUGACGCUCAUGCACGAAAGCGUGGGGAGCAAACAGG
rnacentral:rRNA from 1 species